AUCAGAGCCAUUGGAAUACCAUGGCCACCCUGUACUGGGGAACAAGCUUCAAAUAGGUUAGGAAAAGGUUGUCCUCUUUGCACUAUGGCCCUGGCUGGAUUGUUGACACUGAUCCAGAGGUUAGGCUUCUGGUGAGUUACUACUACCCUAGUAAUUAUAGAGUGGCCUCUCCCAUUUCCUGCCUGAGGUGCUCUUUUGAGUGUUUCUUGUGAGAAUGUUCUUCAGGUGCCAUCAGAGAACUUACCGUUGUUGUCUGAGGGAACUUCCGUGCCAGUUCCUCUCUCCCUUCCCAUCCCUGCAGCUUGGCCUACACCACUCUAGUCUUCUCAUUCCCUCUUCCUUAAUUUACUUAACUUGACUGAAGGAUUCAAGGCUAUGAGGAUGGGGAUUUAGGUACCAUUGAGUACCCAGAGGACUUAUGUAGCUUAGACUGUCCUUGAAUUCAUUAUGCUCAUUCUGCCUUAGCCUCUUCAGUGCUAGUAUGACAGGCAUGAGCCAUUAUGCUUAGCUAAAUUUGCUAAUGUUUAAUUGUGCUAUCAUUUCAAACUUCCAAUAAAGUCACAGGAAUAAUACAGAGUCCUUUCAUGACAUUGACAUUACCCUUUAUAUUGCUGGCAAUUUUGAAGGGGUCAGGUCUCUUUUAUAGAAUCCUUUUUCUUUUGAAUAUGCCUAAUUAUUUCUCAUGAAUAUAUGAAUAUAUAUGUAUAUAUAUGUAUAUAAUUUCCUUUUACUUAUCUUCCAUUUGUUUACUGAGUGUGAAUCAUUUAUUGAAUUAAGAGUUUACCUCCUAACCACUGAAAUAUGACAGCUCUAUUGAGACAUAGAUCACCCACUUAAAGUAUGCAGUUCAGCAGCUUUUAAUAUAUUCACAGAGGUAUGCAGCCAUCUGUAAUCGACUUAGAAAAUUUUCAUUAUCCCCCUCCCAAAAGAACUCUUAUGUUCAUUGGCAGUCAUUCCUUAUUUCUUCCUUUUCCCAAAGGCUCUGGCACAGUAACCACUGAUAUAUUCUAUUUAUCUAUUUUGAGGUCACAAUGUGUAAUUGUGUGUGUGUGUGUGUGUGUGUGUGUGUGUGUGUGUGUAUCUGAGUUAUUUCCCUUACUGUUUGUUAUUUGACAGGUUCAUUCAUGUUGCACCAUGUAUGAAGACAUCAUCAGAAUAGUAGACUAAUAUUUUACUAGAGGAAAGGAUCUGUUUCAUUCAUCAGACAGUGAGCUGCCCCUUCCCCUUUUUUGUUUAUUUUAAAUAACGAUACCAUAAACAUUUGUAUGCAGAUUUGGGGGCCAUAUACCUCUGUUUUGCUAUUGUCUUGUGAGUCUUGAAAGUAGAAAGAGCAGGAAGAGUACAUUCCAAUGGGGGUGUUGGUGGAUCUCAGCAAUACCCAGCUUUGUCGAUGUCAUUUAUUUUAGGUGUAAUAAGUUCAUCUGUGGCUCUUUGUAACCUUAUUUCCAAAACUAGUGGCCUUCCUGGAUCUGGCACAACUAGAUUUUUUAAUAUUUGCCCUCUCUUCGGGGAUUACUAUGAAACAUGACAUCCUAGGAGGUUUGGGGGACUAUCAGCCCUGUAUCUGUGGGGAACACAAACCAGCUUUUCAGCUCGGUUAGCAGCUGGCUCAUCUGGAACUCUCUUAUAGGCUUUCUUUCCCCCAAACAAUGGUCCAAGUUAUAGCCUUGUGGUUGCCAGCUCCUUUUAAUUGCGUCCUUCAUUUUAUAGUCUGUUAUUAGCAUGAUGUCUGGUCAUCAUUGGAGAGCUAUGGUUUUUUUCUUCCAAAACUCAACAAUUUAGUAAGAUGUUUUACAGAAUCCAACAAUUCAUCUGUCCCAGGAAUAAUCAGAGGAAGGUGUGUGUGUGUGUGUGUGUGUGUGUGUGUGUGUGUGUAUGUGUGUAAUGUCACAGAGAGGCAUGGCACACUGAGAGGAAAUUGCCUUUAAAAUAGAACCCUGAGUUGAUCAGGCUGAAAACAAAAAACAAAAACAAACAAAAACCCUCAAUG
rnacentral:lncRNA from 1 species